rnacentral:sRNA from 1 species
CUUAUUUAUAAGGGAUGAUGUUUUAAUUAUAUCCAUGUACUAAUGUGCACCAGUAGGUACACACUUACUUACUAAUGUUUCCUAAGAUUCAGCCAUUCAAAAUUGACUUUCCAUUUGAUUUACUUAAUUCAGAAUGUGGUAAUAUCCUGACCAAGAUUUUCAAUGUUUUAUGACCAUGAGCCAUAGUAAGAAAUACAUCUUUCAUCAUCACCAGGAUGAAAAUAUUUUGUGCAUGUAGAUGUGUAUGAGUACCUUUAGUAGGCAUUUCAUAUAAUGGCACCUUUCCUGUUUGUCACGAUGCUAUGAUAAUUUCUAUUCUGGUUCUUUUUCCUAAAUGCUUUUUAGAAGGUUUCAGAUUUAUUUUACAGCUCACUAAGAGUCUGUAGUGUUUAUUUUGAAAAUGGGUAUAAAGGUCUAUUUCUUUACAUCAUAUUUUUUCUGCUAUCUGUUUUCAAUGAGACAGUCCAAUAACUUCACAUGGAACCAAUCAGGGCAUGACCCCUUAGGUGUUCUUUUCAUCCCAGGUGAUCUUACCAACUUUCAUUGUCUCAUCAGGAGCAUCCCCCUUUGUGUAUUUCUGUCAGGUCCAGCCUUUCAGAUUCCCAUCAAAACUGAAGGUUUCUGAUCCUUUUCUAUUUCAGGUAACCAAGUUAUUGUUCAUAUCAGUACAGACAAAUGAGAUUAUACAUGUUCUGCAAAAAUUCUUGUGCAGGAAUACUCUGAAAAUGUAGACAUAAAUACUCCUAGGUAUUUGAUAUUUAGUAUUGUGAUGAGCUUAACCAAUUACAAAGUUUAAAGUGACAGCUCACAGAAGACUGCCGUCACUGCAUACCAAUGACAAAUUCAGUGGUUUCCCCAAAUUACCUUCAUGUUCCAUAUUCUUAAAAUUAUGGGUUUUUAUAGGGGAAAGAUGCAUAUUACAAUUAGGAGAAAAAUCAAGUAAGAGACAGUCCAGGGAAGUAUCAAAUGGAACUUUGUAUUGUACUCUCCCCAUGAAAUCAGGAUGCAUUACAUCCCCAAGAUUAAGGUGUGACAUUAGACGGGAGGAGAGCCUAUCAGGGAAGCUUUCCUGAGCCCUGGUAUUCAGAGUAAUCGUUGUCUGUUAAUUACAUAGCCAUUAUUGGUUGAUUUCUUUCCCGUAUGAGUAGUCUCAGUCUCCUGGUUGACUGAUUCCACAUGACCUAAAGCCUCACCAUAAAUCACAUUGUUGGUCUUUCUCACAUAGUGAGCACCACAUUCUCCUCAUAGGUGUGGCCACCCAUAAUCCUAAAUCAUAGUAUUACACCGUCCAGAGUGACUUACUAGACCUACUACCUCCAGGCAAACAAAGACACUCUCCUAAGGCAUGACAUUUUAAGGACUGAGAGAUUGCCUCUCAGAUGCUGAGGACAUCACCCAGGCCUCUUUGUGACUUAGGAUAAUUUCUUUACUUCAUAAGGAUAUACAAUACAAACUAAAAUAUACAAAGUUUUGAUGAUGUUAUGGCUUCUCCUUAAAGUUCACAUUUGAUUCAUAUUUCACUGUUUACAUAAUUUAUUAGUUACAUAAUUUACCAUGCAAAGUUUUAUUUCUACCAAGUAUUUCACAUAUGACACUUGGUGUGGUUCUGAAUUGGUCUCAUGCAAACCAGAGUCCAUAGUGUACUUGGAAAACACAUUCGCUGGGCACAGUGGCUCAAGCCUGUAAUCCCAGCACUUUGGGAGGCCAAAAUGGGAGUAUCACUUGUGGCCAGGAGUUCAAGACCAGCCUUGGCAACAUAGCAAGACCUUGUCUCUACAAAAAGUGUAAAAAUUAGCUAGUUAUGGUGGUAUGUGCCUGUAGUCCUAGCUACUCAGGAGGCAGAGGUGGGAGGAUCACUUGAGCCCAGGAGGUCAAGGCUGCAGUGAGCCAUGAUUGUCUCCCUGCACUCCAGCCUGGGUGACAGAGGGAGACACUCUCUUAAAAAAAGGAAAAUACAGGGCUGGGCGCAGUGGCUUACGCCUGUAAUCCCAGCACUUUGGGAGGCUGAGGAGGGCGGAUCACAAGGUCAGGGGAUCGAGACCAUCCUGGCUAAAACAGUGAAAACCCGUCUGUACUAAGAAUACAAAAAAUUAGCUGGGCGUGGUGGCGGGCGCCUGUAGUCCCAGCUACUGAGGAGGCUGAGGCAGGAGAAUGGUGUGAACAACCCAGGAGGUGGAGCUUGCAGUGAGUGGAGAUCACACCACUGCACUCCAGCCUGGGGGACAGAGCGAGACUCCAUCUC